GGAUUUUCCGCAAUGGGCGAAAGCCUGACGGAGCAAUACCGCGUGAGGGAGGAAGGCUCUUGGGUUGUAAACCUCUUUUCUCAGGGAAGAAMARAAUGACGGUACCUGAGGAAUAAGCAUCGGCUAACUCCGUGCCAGCAGCCGCGGUAAUACGGAGGAUGCAAGCGUUAUCCGGAAUGAUUGGGCGUAAAGGGUCCGCAGGUGGCAUUGUAAGUCUGCUGUUAAAGAGUUUGGCUCAACCAAAUAAAAGCAGUGGAAACUACAAAGCUAGAGUGUGGUCGGGGCAGAGGGAAUUCCUGGUGUAGCGGUGAAAUGCGUAGAUAUCAGGAAGAACACCAGUGGCGAAGGCGCUCUGCUAGGCCAAAACUGACACUGAGGGACGAAAGCUAGGGGAGCGAAUGGGAUUAGAUACCCCAGUAGUCCUAGCCGUAAACGAUGGAUACUAGGCGUAGCUCGUAUCGACCCGAGCUGUGCCGUAGCUAACGCGUUAAGUAUCCCGCCUGGGGAGUACGCAGGCAACUGUGAAACUCAAAGGAAUUGACGGGGGCCCGCACAAGCGGUGGAGUAUGUGGUUUAAUUCGAUGCAACGCGAAGAACCUUACCAAGGCUUGACAUGUCACGAAUCCUGAGAAAGUUAGGAGUGCCUUCGGGAGCGGAACACAGGUGGUGCAUGGCUGUCGUCAGCUCGUGUCGUGAGAUGUGGGUUAAGUCCCGCAACGAGCGCAACCCUCGUUUUUAGUUGCCAGCAUUAAGUUGGGCACUCUAGAGAGACUGCCGGUGACAAACCGGUGGAAGGUGGGGAUGACGUCAAGUCAGCAUGCCCCUUACGUCUUGGGCUACACACGUACUACAAUGCUCCGGACAAUGUGCAGCUACACAGCGAUGUGAUGCGAAUCUCAUAAACCGGAGCUCAGUUCAGAUCGAAGGCUGCAACUCGCCUUCGUGAAGGAGGAAUCGCUAGUAACUGCAGGU
rnacentral:rRNA from 1 species